ACCCUAAUUAACUCCUCUUUACCCAACUGCUGAAAAAAUCCCCUUUCUCCCAGAUCUACUCUCAAACAUCAAUGGAGUUGCAGACUUGUUCGUUCAUAACAAUGAAAUUUGCAUCUUCUACCAUGUGGUUGCUAUCUGUUAGGAGGUCUUGCACAAGGCAAUGUAAUUUAUCCUCUUUACAAUCUCUUGGUUUUACAAUUUUCGAUAUUCUAGGUUUCGGGUUUAGGUUUUUCUUUGUGUAAUUUGCUGCUCAAGAACUUUUGAUAGAAAGAUUUUGUUUUUUGACGGCUUUCAACAUACGGAGAAGUUAAGGUUGUUCCGUUGUUUCCGAUUUAAUCUGAUUUGAAUUUUAUUUUGGCUUUUGAUUUCAGUAAAGUUAGGGUUUUUAAUAAUGAAUAUGUGUUCUCUUCUCUCAUGGAAACCUCUUUGUUUUAUUUUGAUAGCGUUUAACCGUAGACGAGAAACCUCCUUCACAUGACGACACUCUUUAAUCUGUAAGUUUAAACCUAACACUCUUAAGAUUUUUUUUAAAAUCUCACUAAUUACUUAAUGUAAUAUUUGGGUAUAUUUUCAUCAAGUUGGGGUUAUAUUUUGUGCAUUUAGAUAAUAAGAAUUGGGGUUGUAAUGUAGUAUUUUCUUGAAAUUUUGGAAGAAUAUUGCUUUGCUGAUUUCAGAUACAAGAUCAUUGAGGUGCCCUUCUUUUUUGAGAUAAUUUGUAACGAAAAGUGGAUUAUGUUUUGUUGUGUUGCUUAUUUCUCCUGUUUUUUCUUUGUUGUUCUCCUAACUGAGGUUGUAUGAAGUCUUGGAAACCCGACCCUUGGUUAGUUACUCCUAGUCGCUUCACAGGUACAAUAAUGCAUGUCUGCAUCUUCUAAACAACUUGCUCUAUGUCCUGGUGCGAAUAAACUUACAAUUGGAGUGCUGCUCCAUGUUCUGUAUGUUAGGCUCUUUUUAUCCAAAGGCACCUUCAACCAUUUGUGGCUCCAGUCUCAAAUCAAAACCUUGGGCUGUUUGAUGCCUUGGUUAAUGUCCUGCCACUAGUUGAGGAGACGAAGAGGCUCAACUGAAAAGAAUCGCUUAUCUUCAGGCAAAAAAUGAUGUUGUUGGAAAAGAAUUGCAGAAGUAACUGGAAGCUGCAGGCUGGCGGGUUACUGUCACACUGCCAAAAUAUUCUUGGACUGAUGUAGCUACCCACUAACUUGUGGUGUGCUGCCCUCUGCUGUUGUUGGUGGCCUUCUCCUUCUUACAUACGUAUACAACAGUUGUGGCUUCCCUUGGUGUGCUGCAAACUAUGAGGAAAUUUGGGCUCAUAAGAUAAUUUGCCACUGCUCAAAACUUUUCAAGAUUAUGUUCAAGUAUUCCUCUCUGAAUUGAAUAGAAAAUGUUCUGACAUAUAUGAGUUCUGCAUUUACUACCUAUGUUCUGGCGUAAAACUUGGAAACAACAAGUUCGAUCUGUUUGUCUAUCCGGUUCAGAAGUGUAUCAGAUGGAGGUACUUACUUGUAUGUGAGGUACCUGAUCGUGUGGAAGUGUAAAUUCGGGUAUCCUGGCUGCAUAAUAGGGAGAUGGAAAUUAUUGCAGCACGUUUCCAAUGGAGGUUAUUGUGACCGCUCAAAAUAAGCAAAAUAUUAGUUUACAAUGUCCAGUUAUUAGUUAGCAUGUCAAUUUUGAACAAAUCCGUGUAAGUCUCAUAAUUUUGUAAUUUAUACGUUAUAUUAUAUGAAUGAGUUACAACAUUCGGACCAUAUUUGGUUGGGUUUACCUUAUUUAACCUUUUAAUACAAUUUUGUAAGCUCAAUGUGGUUGUGAAG